rnacentral:rRNA from 1 species
AUGAACGCUGGCGGCGUGCUUAAUACAUGCAAGUCGAACGGAGUAUGUAGCAAUACGUACUUAGUGGCGAACGGGUGAGUAAAGCGUUGGUGACCUGCCCCAAAGCGUGGGAUACCAGUUCGAAAGGACUGCUAAUACCGCAUGUGAUCAUAGAGAUUGGAAGCUUUAUGAUGAAAGGAGAAAUUCACUUUGGGAGGGGCCUGCGUCCCAUCAGCUAGUUGGUAAGGUAACGGCUUACCAAGGCGAUGACGGGUAGGGGACCUGAGAGGGUGACCCCCCACACUGGCACUGAAACACGGGCCAGACACCUACGGGUGGCAGCAGUAGGGAAUAUUGCGUAAUGUGCGAAAGCGCGACGCAGCAACGCCGCGUGUGCGAUGAAGGCCUUCGGGUUGUAAAGCACUUUUUGAGGAGAAGAGAGAGGACGGUAUCCUCAGAAUAAGCUUCGGCUAACUACGU